rnacentral:rRNA from 1 species
GACGGGGGGUCCUAGCGUUGUUCGGAAUCAUUGGGCGUAAAGCGUGUGCAGGUGGCUUUGCAAGUUAGAUGUGAAAGCCCCGGGCUUAACCCGGGAAGUGCAUUAAAACUGCAAAACUUGAAUAUGGAAGAGGGUCGUGGAAUUCCAGGUGUAGUGGUGAAAUACGUAGAUAUCUGGAGGAACACCGGUGGCGAAGGCGGCGACCUGGUCCGAUACUGACGCUGAGGCACGAAAGCGUGGGGAGCAAACAGG